UACGUAGGGUGCGAGCGUUAAUCGGAAUCACUGGGCGUAAAGCGCACGUAGGCGGACUCUUAAGUCAGGGGUGAAAUCCUGGAGCUCAACUCCAGAACUGCCUUUGAUACUGGGAGUCUUGAGUUCGGGAGAGGUGAGUGGAACUGCGAGUGUAGAGGUGAAAUUCGUAGAUAUUCGCAAGAACACCAGUGGCGAAGGCGGCUCACUGGCCCGAUACUGACGCUGAGGUGCGAAAGCGUGGGGAGCAAACAGG
rnacentral:rRNA from 1 species